rnacentral:lncRNA from 1 species
UGAAAGGAGGGUUAUUUCUAAUCAUGCCUGUGAGACAUGUCUUUAAUUUUGCUCUCUCUCUCAGGGUGGUGCUCCCUCUCUCUCUGGUUGGUCUCUUGGUAUUCCCAUCGCUGGCUGACAGAAUUGAAGACAAAAUGGAAAACCUCUUUCUGCGGUAACUCAAACACAAGCUAGGGGGCAACAAUAACCACAGAACAGAUGGUCAGGAUGAGACAUGUCAACACAGGGAUAUGAAGACACACUUCCACCCUUUUGUAGCAGUCCCUAAAUGAGAAAUUACACACUCUGUGAUUUGAGUGAUGAGUAACUGAAGCAGAUGGCAGAAGAAUCUGGUCAGUAC